AUGGAUGAUGAGUACUACCUAUUUGCCGGUGAAGCAUCCGACACUGAUAGCUCGGACCUCGAUGAGCCCGUAGAAUCCUCCAACACGGGAUCUAUCAACCUAGAUCCUUUCGACUAUGUCUACUCGAACAUCCCAGACAGCACGCACAUCCUGAAGCACGCGGCAAACUGCAAGCAUUGCAAGGCCAAGAAGUUCCAGUACGAGACUGACGGCUUUUGCUGUCGGAACGGG
rnacentral:rRNA from 1 species